ensembl:lncRNA
CCCUGUACAUAUAUACGGACUCAGAGGAUGAGCAGCCUACAAAAAAAAUGGUUUCCCCAGGCCCCUCGAGUGAAAAUACCAGCCCUCAUCACUCCGCAGUCUGCCCCCCAGCCCACUGAUAGCAACCAUCAUAAUGCCCCACCCAGCUUCCGGCACCUUUCGCCACUCCGGCACAAACCGACACAGCGUUGCGAUCUCGCCAGCAUGCAGUAUGAUGUCUUCCCUAUAGAUGAUUCCAGAGACUCUGUGAGGCCACUAUUACAAGGUGAGACGCUUUGCGUUGAUUGGUGCUGCUGGACCACACUGGAGGUGCGAGUCCGCCGUGUAAUGGUUUAUGCCAUUACAAAGGAGCUGGCCUCUGUACUCAACUGGGCAGGGAAAAACCAA